rnacentral:rRNA from 1 species
UACGAAGGGGGCUAGCGUUGUUCGGAAUUACGGGGCGUAAAGGGCGCGUAGGCGGUGUGUCAAGUCAGGCGUGAAAGCCCCGGGCUCAACCUGGGAACCGCGCUUGAGACUGGCACGCUCGAGUUCGGGAGGGGAUGGUGGAAUUCCCAGUGUAGAGGUGAAAUUCGUAGAUAUUGGGAAGAACAUCGAUGGCGAAGGCAGCCAUCUGGACCGACACUGACGCUGAGGCGCGAAAGCGUGGGGAGCAAACAGG